rnacentral:tRNA from 1 species
GGGAAUGUGGCUUAGUGGUAAAGUGCAUGCCUAGUAUGCAUGAAGCCCUGCAUUCAAUUCCU